rnacentral:rRNA from 1 species
AUUGAACGCUGGCGGCAUGCCUAACACAUGCAAGUCGAGCGGAGCGACGGACGGGCGAGUAAUUCCUAGGUAUCUGACUUGUCGUUGGGGAUAACGUCCGUUCACGGGCGCUAAUCUCGCACCCUAUCAGCUGAGCCUUGGUCGGAUUAGCUAGUUGGUGGGGUAAAGGCGUACCAAGGCGACGAUCCGUAACUGGUCUGAGAGGAUGAUCAGUCACACUGGAACUGAGACACGGUCCAGACUCCUACGGGAGGCAGCAGUAGGGAAUAUUGGGCAAUGGGCGAAAGCCUGAUCCAGCCAUGCCGCGUGUGUGAAGAAGGUCUUCGGAUUGUAAAGCACUUUAAGUUGGGAAGCGGUACCAACAGAGUAAGCACCGGCUAACUUCGUGCCAGCAGCCGCGGUAAUAC